rnacentral:lncRNA from 1 species
UUAGAAUCAUGAAAUUAAAAUAAGAUACAAAUAUUUUCCCCUGAUGUCCUAAAAAGUCUCUCAACCCAACGAUAAUCAAACAGAAUCUUUGUUUUUAAGCGUUCAGAGUUGCUGCUGUGUUCACAUGUCGACCAUCGACUGCAGCAGGAAACAAAAACUCCAGUUAAACCAGUUGGAGAAGGAAGUUCAGCUUAGAGCAGAAGGGGAGGGUCAGAUCUGCCAGAGGAGGGUCCAACUUGUUAUUGAGGAAGAAGAAGAGAUCCAGUUUCAGAUGACAGCUGAGCGCUGACACACACACUAACAACAGCUUUGCUCCUGAUUCACCACCGAAGAAACAGCGUUGAGUCUGAGCCUCAGCUCAGUGAACCCCAGAGACAUGGUCUGACUGAUCAUCAACGCCUGCAGGUUCGUGGUGCAGAAGAUCCGGGCUGCAGUGAGCGGCGAGGCGCAGCCGGAGAAGUCCAGCACCGCAGGAUGAGGCCAGGCGAAAGCACCGAAGGACGGCAGGAUGAGCGCUGAAGAGCCGGCGCCAGCUCUCAGUUUUCUUUCCUUCGUCCAGAGAAGAGCGAGCAGUCGGAGUCAGCAGAGAGAAUGAAAGCCUGUUCACCAAUUCCCCAACAGAGGAACUGAUCAGUCUGGAUGAUAACAAAGAUUCUGCUGAUGAAGCUGCAACAGAUUAUUUAAUCAUGUUUACACACACGUGUUCUUUUUCUGUCAUUGUUUCAGAAAAUUCAGUAAAAAAGGAACAAAUUUCUUGUUUUGUCUGUUUUGAGUCGACUCCUGUUUUGAACCAGCAGCUGGUUGAACUUCAACACCAAGUACUGAUUCUUUUUACUUCAGUAAAGUAAUAGAUUACAGGCUCUGACAUGUACUCAGAGUAUCAGAGUAAAAAGUCUCCCUCUGAAGGACAUUUGUGCUCAAAGCUAACUGAAGCUCACGUCAUAUUAAUAGAAUUCAAAGACUAUUAAAGUUAAAGGUAGAAUCAGUAGGAUUUGUCCCAGCUGUUCCUGAACGCACCACAAAGACAGUUGAUUGUUGAGUCUCAUUCCCAGGACGUCAAAUAGACACAUGUUGGGUUGGUAAAGCGUCCCGAGCAGCAACAAAGAGAGAAAAUCAGAAACUCUCUGCAGAUACGAGACACGAACACGCCUUUUCUCCACAUUCCAGUCUCCCUCUCUGUCUGUUUACGCCUUCUUACAGCUUUUACGUCUUUGUCUCGUCUCGCUGCGUCUGAAAAUUCAUCAAACUAAAGUAACGAGGCUGUUUUGAAGCUGUGAGGAGGAGAAAGUUCAGAUGUUUGUGUUCAGAUGUAGAGAGGAGAAGUCUCAGAGAUACUCGAGUACAAGUACAGAUACCUGAAACACUGAAAGUAUUCCUUCUUCAUUACUUUCCACUUCUGCAAACACAGCUGCAUUAUUCAGGCUGGGAAAUGUUAAUUAUCUCGCAGUUUCCUUCAAACUGAUUCAAACCCAGCAGCUGUCAGCCUGUGAGAUUAACUCUCCGUCGGUCAGUCGGUGUUUGCAGCUACUUUUCUGUCUCCUGCUGAUAAUUUUGCUUCUCGUCACUACAAAAUAAUCCAGCUUUAUGUGUGGACGAGGAUGAUGCCGCUGCUGAGCUUAACCUCGCUCCUCGUCCUUCUGGAGAAACUGGUCAGUAAACACAGAAUAAUGAGACUCUGCUGAACCAAAGACAGAAGCCAAGACAGAAAUAUGAACGGUCAGUUGCAGAGAUAUUAAAGACAUUUAUAUUCAGACGUCGUCCUCCCUGGAGCCACGACAGGAAACAUUCCUCAUCCAGACAUUCAAAUCAUUUGUUUGUUUUCCUGCAUUUGCAUCCGAUUAGGAUCAAUGGAUCAAACCAGCCGUGCAGGAGAUAUUUAGAACCAAGUCGGAUCUCCUUUCCCCGCUCCGUAUGCAAAUAUACACCUACCUCACUGGAAAUAAAAACAGUAUAAAGUUCCCCAAUUAACAAGAAGAGUUGUGAGCGUGCUGUAGGAAUGUUUGUGUAAAGAAACUGAGUGACAUUAGUGUGUAUAUUUAUCAUUAUUUCAACGUUUUUUAAGUGGUGUC